AAAACCAAAUAAACACUUAAUAAAACAUUUUUUGCCCUCAUCUUCAGUCCCUCACUCACGCAACACACGCACGAAAGAGGAAAGAUAUGAGAAAGCUAAGGGGGAGAACGAGAAAAAGAAGAGAGGAGAGGGAAGGAAGGAGAGAACGAUGCCGGCUAGGGCUCCGCCGCCGCCGUCGUCGUUGAACGCCAGUUCGAGAGAGAGAUCUCAAGGAAGAGAGAAAACGCGAUGGAGGAGAGAAGGGGGUGCUCUGUCGCUGCUGAAGCUCCACUGCCGCUGCUAGGGCUUGGUGCCGUCGCCGUUCUGCCACCGUCGGGCUUCUGUACCGUCACCGAGGAGCUCGAAGGGAUGUCUCGCCGCCGUCGUGCUCUGUCGCCGCUCUGCCGUCGACUGGAACUCGCCGCUGAGCUGCUGCACCGUCUCCAAGCCAUUGCGUCGCCACUCAUCUCUUCUUCACCGUCGCUGCUCAUCACCAUCGUCGUAUCCUCUAUCACCAAGUGUGUAUGAUUUUGAUAGUGGCUAAUUGUGAUAGAGAAGGUUAAUGCUGAGAGAGACUAUCAUCGAAAUUCACUUAUCAUUCUAGAGAAAUUUUAUACUGAGGUUAGCCCAUGUAGCUUGAACUAUAAAAAUGAGAGUCAAGAUUCAAGAACCAUGUAUGAAGAGAGAUUUUAUACUUUUACCAGAACUUACCAUUAUAUAUAUAGUUUUACUGUCUUUUUAUUUAGUAGCUUUUGGGAGUGGAUGCAUGAGUAGAUAUUGCAAAAUAUGGUAUGACGGUAUGACCGUCUUUUCCUUACUCCUUGUGUUGCUAUGCACUAGAGAGAUUGUAACUGAAACUGGGUAAAAAAAAGUACUGAUCAAGUUAAUGAUCUCUGUUUCUAUAGUUAUAAUAUUGGCUACUGAAUUGCAUAGCUUAAUUCUGUACAAACAGUUUUGUCACUUGAAUCGUCUUUCUUAACUUAGAUUAGUUUUUCGAAUAAUAGCUUCUACGGAUUUUGUUUUGCAUAUGGCUGGAAAGCAUUUGUUGCUGGCUCAACUCAUCAGGUAGUGCUGCAGUUAUUAUUCCUAUAUAUUGAAGCUUUUUCUGCUCAACUCAUCAGUGCUGAAAAAAGAUGAGACACUUUGCUACUAUGUGCAAGAAUGUAAAAAAUGGAAAAUCUUGUGUCAUCAAAUUUUGUUACAAGUGCCUUUUAAAUAGAUAUGAAGACUAGAGAGAAAGGAGAAGAAGUGAUGCAGCAAGAAGAAUAUAUUUGUAUGUUGAUAUUGAAUGAGUGAACCAAGACAUGUUGAUAAAUACAUUUUUCAAGGAUUAGUGUAAGGACCAAGUUUCUUAUGUAAUAUGUAUCACUUUUUCUUUUCUUUUUAUAUGAAAUGUCUAUAGAGUUUAAGUGUUAUAAGUAUUAUUUUUUUUUCUCAUAGUAUGAUCUUAUAUUAUUUGCAUCACAAAACAAACUUGUACAAUGAUUAUUGAUUAAUAAAAG